rnacentral:rRNA from 1 species
GAUGAACGCUGGCGGCGUGCCUAAUACAUGCAAGUCGAGCGAACAGACGAGGAGCUUGCUCCUCUGACGUUAGCGGCGGACGGGUGAGUAACACGUGGAUAACCUACCUAUAAGACUGGGAUAACUUCGGGAAACCGGAGCUAAUACCGGAUAAUAUAUUGAACCGCAUGGUUCAAUAGUGAAAGACGGUUUUGCUGUCACUUAUAGAUGGAUCCGCGCCGCAUUAGCUAGUUGGUAAGGUAACGGCUUACCAAGGCAACGAUGCGUAGCCGACCUGAGAGGGUGAUCGGCCACACUGGAACUGAGACACGGUCCAGACUCCUACGGGAGGCAGCAGUAGGGAAUCUUCCGCAAUGGGCGAAAGCCUGACGGAGCAACGCCGCGUGAGUGAUGAAGGUCUUCGGAUCGUAAAACUCUGUUAUUAGGGAAGAACAAAUGUGUAAGUAACUAUGCACGUCUUGACGGUACCUAAUCAGAAAGCCACGGCUAACUACG